rnacentral:hammerhead_ribozyme from 1 species
AUCCAGCUGACGAGUCCCAGAUAAAACGAAACACACGUCAAACUGAAU